GUUGACAUGGUCAAUCAGAAAGGGGAAGUGAAGCUGCAGACGUACAAGAAUGAUCAUCCAUUUGCUCAGCUUUCCGGGGCAGAUAAUAUAAUAGCGUUCACAACAACUAGAUACAAAGCUCAACCCCUAAUAAUACGUGGACCUGGUGCUGGUGCUGAAGUCACUGCUGGUGGAGUCUUCAGUGACCUGUUGCGGCUUGCUUCGUACCUUGGUGCCCCGUCAUAGGUGGGAAGCCCAUAGCCCGAAGAUUGAAAUAUGGUGUAACACAGCCUGAGUAGUUUAGCUUUUGG
rnacentral:lncRNA from 1 species